CCCAGCAAUUGGAUUUCAUCAAUAUUAUAUAACGUUGAUUAAAAUUUCCUUUUCUCUCGAGCAACCAUGUAUAUUCCAAGCGUGAUGAAGGGAUUAGAUCAUCGUAUCGUAAAUUAUGCUUACUUCCAACCCCAAAGGCAGACUUUCUAUGUGCUUGUCUCUUUGCUUCGAGGGCCAGCGAACUCUUCACUCUAUAUGACAGAAACAGCCUAGAAUCCAGGGGGAAAUUUAAAAGUCAAUCAAGGAAGGAACUGCAAGAUGGACAGAGCAAGGUCUCGUAGAAAUGUAUGAGAUUCGUUUCUCGCAAAUUACGAGAUACGGAAACGUUUAAAGUCAUCUACAGGCGGAAAUCUGUUCAAGACAGUCGCGAACUUUAUAAUAUAAUGGAAUCGUUUUACCAAUAUGCGGACAAACAACACAGUUUUCGUCUAUGAAUACGAAAUAAAAAAUUUAAAUAAAAAUUAUAUUAAUCCUUUCGAUACGAGUUGUUUUUAACAUCGAUGAUAAAGAAAAUAAUCACAGACUUCGCUGGAUGCAUAAGCAUUCAUAGACAACAUCAAUGGAAUUUUUUCUGAUGAAUAUGUACUUCUCCUGUAGGAAAGUAUGAGAUGACUCGUUUGUUUGUAAGAAAUGUUCAAGAGCAGUUAUGAAAUCAUUUACGGAUUUCACUACGUUUUACAUAUUCGAAACUUUCCAUCUUUGCAUUUCUUUUCUGUCUCCCCUUUCUCAUGAAUACUUGAAUACAUGAUUUUUUCAAAUGUAAUAAAAAAAAAAAAAAAAAAAAAAAAUGCUAAUU